AUGGUCCUCAAACUUGACUUCGCCAAGGCGUUCGACUCCAUCAACUGGGCGAGCUUGCGCGCUGUGAUGGAGGCCAGGGGGUUCCCGUCGCUCUGGUGCGACUGGAUGGAUGCCCUCUUCCACUCCUCGAGCUCGGCGGUCUUGUUGAACAGGGUGCCAGGG
rnacentral:rRNA from 1 species